rnacentral:misc_RNA from 1 species
UCUAGGUGGGCUCCCUUAACCAUG